GACGAACGCUGGCGGCGUGCUUAACACAUGCAAGUCGAACGGAAAGGCCCUGCUUUUGUGGGGUGCUCGAGUGGCGAACGGGUGAGUAACACGUGAGUAACCUGCCCUUGACUUUGGGAUAACUUCAGGAAACUGGGGCUAUUACCGGAUAGGAGCUCCUGCUGCAUGGUGGGGGUUGGAAAGUUUCGGCGGUUGGGGAUGGACUCGCGGCUUAUCAGCUUGUUGGUGGGGUAGUGGCUUACCAAGGCUUUGACGGGUAGGCGGCCUGGGAGGGGGACCGGCCACAUUGGGACUGAGAUACGGCCCAGACUCGUAUGGGAGGCAGCAGUGGGGAAUAUUGCACAAUGGGCGGAAGCCUGAUGCAGCAACGCCGCGUGCGGGAUGACGUCCUUCGGGUUGUGAACCGCUUUCGCCUGUGACGAAGCGUGAGUGACGGUAAUGGGUAAAGAAGCACCGGCUAACUACGUG
rnacentral:rRNA from 1 species